rnacentral:rRNA from 1 species
GGCCCCGCACAAGCGGUGGAGCAUGUGGUUUAAAUUCGAAGCAACGCGCAGAACCUUACCAAGCCUUGACAUCCUCGGAACUUUCCAGAAAUGGAUUGGUGCCUUCGGGAACCGAGUGACAGGUGCUGCAUGGCUGUCGUCAGCUCGUGUCGUGAGAUGUUGGGUUAAGUCCCGUAACGAGCGCAACCCCUAUCCUUAUUUGCCAGCACAUCAUGGUGGGAACUAUAAGGAGACUGCCGGUGAUAAACCGGAGGAAGGCGGGGACGACGUCAAGUCAUCAUGGCCCUUACGACCAGGGCUACACACGUGCUACAAUGGUAGGUACAGAGGGAGCGAAGUUGCGAAGCGGAGCGAAUCUCAGAAAGCCUAUCCCAGUUCGGAUUGGAGUCUGCAACUCGACUCCAUG